ensembl:lncRNA
GGCUGCUUCUGCCAGGAGAGCUUGGCACCGGAGGUCACCGAGCCCUUGGUGGGGCCUACCUGCCCCGUCAAUGGUGACAGUGUCUCGUGUAUGAAUAAUGCCUCCACAGAGCGUUUCUAAAUGCCUUCCUGCAAAGAAGGAGCAGAGACUCCCGGGGGAAGGGCGAACACCUGCCCACCUUCUGCGAGACCGGGAGAGAUGGUGGAGGCAGGGGGAGGGCAGGAAUGGAAGCCAAGUGCAGGGAGAGGAGGGGACCAGGCAGGAUGAGCCAGCUCCCUGUGUAAAGGGGCCGAGAAAGGUUCAAAGGAGAUGGAAGCAUUGAUGCAAGGGACACACGGGGCCUGGAAAAUCGAUGGUGGUGCUGAAGGGUCUUAGGGAGUCAAUACUAGCGUAGAGAAUGCAGAAGGGCAGCUGGUGUGCUGGUGGUGGAGCUGCAGAUUAGCUAAGACGCAUGCAGGGCUUCCCUGCUGGCCCAGUGGCGGAGACCCUGUGCUCCCACUGCAAAGGGCCUGGGUUUGAUCACUGGUCGAAGAACUAGGUCCCACGUCCACAACCAAGAGCAUUCCACAUGCCGCAGCUAAGGCCCGCUGCAGCCGAAUGAAUAAGACAAACACUGUUUAAAAAAUAAAAAGGUACGGAAUGCGAAGGACCAAGUGGCUCACGGGAAGGCACUGUAUCAGUUAGCUAUUUUUUGCCGCAUGACAAAAAAGACCCUCAAGUUCAGUGGCCUAAAACUCUCAUUAUUCAAGCUCUCGGGGCUGAAGGUCAGCUGAGGACUGGACGACCCAGGCUGCGCGUGGCCAGGAUGGCUCGGAUCCCCAGGCCUCUCAUUCUCCUGCCGGUCGGGGCGAGCCAGGCCUGCGCUGCUCCAGCUGGCAGAAGGACAGAAGGACAAAUGCAGCCGUGCAGGCAGUCUUGAGGCCCCGGCUGGGAGCUGGCUGGGAACGAAGCCUCACACCCUCCUUGCUCUGUGGGGCACAUCAGGUCCCGUGGGUGAACCCAGGGGCGGAAUGUGGGGCAAUAUUCUCUGCCCACCUUGGAGCAGAAAGUGGCAACUCACUCCAGGAUUCUUGUCUGGGAAAUCCUAUGGACAGGGAAGCCUGGCAGGCUGAAGUCCAUGGAGUGGCAAAACGAACAUGCCUGAGCAACAGGGCACACACACCCAUAUCCAUUACCGGUUGUAUUCUAAGAAUUGGAAUGACUCAAGUCAGAUGGACCUUUAAUCCCGGACCUCACAUGUCCAGAAACCAGGAGGGGAAAACAUUCUCUUUGCCCAGGUCCACAAUGAGUAUGUGUGAUCACUCACCUAGAGCCAGACAUCCUGGAAUGUGAAGUCAAGUGGGCCUUAGAAAGCAUCACUACAAACAAAGUUAGUGGAGGUGAUGGAAUUCCAGUUGAGCUAUUUCUAAUCCUGAAAGAUGAUGCUGUGAAAGUGCUACACUCAAUAUGCCAGCACAUUUGGAAAACUCAGCAGUGGCCACAGGACCGGAAAA